GCUCGAUCAACCAAGGCCUACAAAUCUCUUCUUCAAUCUAUUCCCCACAUCUUUGUGGGCAAAGCCGGUCGUCUCCAGAAGAUCAUCUCCGUCGUAUCAAAUGCAGCCAAGCAGAGCCUCAAGAAGAAGGGUAUGCACAUUCCACCUUGGAGAAAAGCCGAGUAUGUCGAAGCUAAAUGGCUUUCUCCUUAUUUGCGAGCUACACCGCCUCUUUCCUCAUACAAAACCGGUCCCAAACCUCAAAAGGAGCAAACUUUGGUUCCAAA
rnacentral:misc_RNA from 1 species